GGGAGCUUGAGAUGAUGUGUAUUCUAAGGAUUACAGUGAUUGUUACACAACGUAUCGUUUUAGCACUUAAAGUGGGUGAAUUUUAUGUUGUAUGAAUUAUACAACAAUGGUGUGUGUUAAAAAUGAAUUAUACCCUAAUAGCCAAGAUAUUUAGAGCAAGACAUUUAUAUUAAACAUACUACAGAUAUUCAUGGAUAUGCUAGUUAUGUGUACAAAAUUUCUGAAAGUUUCUAUUCAAAAAGCAUGUUUGCCUCUGAGAAAAGAACUGAAAGUCUGGCACAGGAAAGAGAAUUACUUUUCAUUGUAUACCCUCCAACACUGUUAAAAAAAUUACACCAUAUAUAUUAUUGCUUUAGAAACUAAAAAUCCUAGUAAAUUAUUAAAACAAACAACCACAGUUCUGAUCUAAGGACACAGGCAUGCAAAUUUGCUCUUUAAGGUCUAUACUUAUCUGAAUGAGGCUAUAAGCACUUAUGAGUAGCCUAUAAUAAGAGAAAGCCAAUUUCAUCACAAAACAUGGUGUUAGUUCCUAAUAAUUUCAGACAGCUGAGUGCAAAUUGUGGGAAUUUGGGGAAACACGAGAGGUUUCUGACUAGAAAUACUUUAAGCAUCCCUGGGUACUGCAUUCCAUAGGUGAUUGUAGGGGCCACAAAAUAAAAAAAAAUUCCUCACCCCCAAACACAAACAAAAUGCAAGUAGAAUGUAACAUGCUGGAGGACUAAAUGAGAGGUGAAGAAAAUAGGGGGAAAGAAAGAGCAAGAAUAGGGUUGUCUAGCAGGGAGCGGGCAUUUAUACAUACAUAGAUGAUUUCAAAAUACUUCCUCCUGCUAUGCCAAGCCUUUAAAAAAAGUCAGUACUUAAUGAUUUGUACACAGACUUGUUUCUAUAAAUCAUAUGCUGGAUAUAGUGCACAGUGAUUUUCAGUAUACCUUUUAAUAUCAAGAACCUGUUACAAAGAUUUGCUUUUCAAUUGCACGCUAUGAAGAUACGGCUAUUUAAUUAAGAAUAUUGGUUAUAAUCUUACACAAGCAGUGGUAGAAAUGAAAAUACACUGUCAAUAUUUAACUAUCAAGAUUCAAGUGCUAUUUUGUAAGAAUGCCUUAGGAAGGUCAAAUUUAAGACUUCUGCUACCAUAAUUUCCCUUUUUAAAUAUAGGAACAUAAUACUUUGCAUACCGUCGCUCAAAAAUGCUUAGUAUUUGAUGUCCAGUUUCACACAAGGAAUCAAUAAUGUAAAUAUUUCCUUGAAGUGGAAACACCUGCAGAGAGGGCCAAAUAAAUCAUAAAAGGUGCUUCUUUUCAAGCUUUGACUGCUUUCAUUUGCAUUUCAAACCGACAGGGCUUUCAUGCUGUUUUUAGUGCUCUGAAUAGACAAUCACAUAUGUUUGCCACACAUGUGUUCUUCAUGCAUGAGUUCCUUGCAGUACUGCCCCUUCUGACCCACCCUUGCUGUAGCUUCGAAGCUCAUUUACACUCAACAGACAUUUCAUGAACACCUAUUGUGGGUCAUUCGACAUGAAGAGCAGGACCACCAUUGUAUUUUCAUCACAAUAUAACAGAUGAGGCUUCUGAGGCUCCUGGACAUUAAGUAUCCUAAAUCCCAGAAUUGAUACAGAUGAGGGCAGAGGCAUCAAAGAAAUAUGCUCAAUCAACACACAACCCUCCAUGAAAACUCAAACUACAGAAGUACCUUGAAAAGAAGAGCAAUUUUAUAUGAAUGGCAAGCAACUCGCAUGCUUACUUUCAAAUAGUGUUAACUGUAGACCUCAAAGAGUAUGGUUCUUUUUUACAUAAGGGGCUCCUAGGGGCCAACAUGGCAUGAUCAUCACUACCUUCUGAACUUACUCCAACACAAUAUCAAAUGGCUGCAAAGCUUCCCUUGAACUGAUGGGGGACAGCUGGCUGGGGGGAGCCGGGAACUGUGUGUGGACCUGUUUUCCAACAGUUUAUUCAACCCACGAUUGUGGAUUGCAAGCCAUUCUGACUGAGCAAGAAAAAUGAACAGCAAGGAGAGAUGAAAAGGACCAGUGGAUCCAUUUCAUUCAGACCACUGCCUCCUGCAUAACGGUUUCUAAGUGUUUGCUACCAACAUGCACUUUUAAGAAAGGUAGAAGCAGUGUUUUUUUAGUUGGCGGAAAGUAGAAUUUAGUUUUUGAUACUGUGAAAUUGGUACUAGAAUAGGGGGGAAUAACUAUUUCAAGAUGCCAGAGAACAUUUUGCAAACUUGUUCCCUUGAAUUACUUUUGGAAAAAAAAAAAAAAAAAAAAAGACUAUCUGUUCCUGUGUGAGCUGGGUACUCUCUUGAGCAUCCAGACUGAAGAUAGAGGAUGUCAAUUUUGGGGCUGCUCGGCCAAGGAACUCUCACCCCUAGAUCUUUAUCACCCUGUAUGGUAUUUCUGGAAAGUGCUCUGACUGGUGCUUCCACUGCAAGCCAAUCAACAAUCCCUAACUGAUACUGUAACAUUAGAUUAUGUUGAUCUACUCCUUCACUCCCUUCACGUGAAAAAUUGCAGAGCCCCUGCUGCCUUGCUGAAACGAGGGCUGCCAGAAUAUUCCUCCCAUAUGGACUUCUGAACUGGUGCAGCAUUAAGUUGCCGAGCUUCAUAAAAUGGCUGGCAGAAAGAACAAAUGUGCCAUGCUAAAAAUGUGACUGUAUAUUGCAUACACAUGGGUCCAAGGCUUGGUGAGAGAGCCUUCUAACUUGUUAAGAAGAAAACAGACUUGGCAGAUGUGAAUCUUCACUGACAGACUCUGAUCGUUCAAACUUGGACACUUUUAUUUCCAAUUUCAGUUUCUGAAAGAGCAAUAUUUUAUACAAGUAUCAAAAAGUCAGUCUGCUCAUCGGUCCAUAUACACCAAAGAUUGUCAAUUGAAAACCCUCAAACACAUGGAAAAGGGGAAGAAACAUUUUUCUCUUGGCUACACUAAAAUUUUGGAAUCCAGAGAAAGAUGGUUACUAUCUCUUUGAUUUAGGAGAAGAGAAAGGGAAAUCAAUAUGGUCUUUUAUAAUAUCAGACAUCCAAGACUUCCUCCAUAAGGGUAUGUACCUUCCCACGACCCCCUCUACGCCAUACAUUGUACACAGAUUGUUUUGGGGAUGAAUAAUGUCACUAGUCUAGGAGUUUCAGGGAAAUAUGCAGCAAUUUCCCUGCAGAUAAUGGAGAUUAUUCUAUUCUCAGAUGCAGCAGACAAAUGCACAGAGAAAAACAAUAUAAUCCCCUGCUGUUCCCAAUGUUACAAUUAUUAUACCAUACUAAAACUGAUUGGAAUAAGUUAGUGGAGAAUCAUCCUGGAAGAUUUUAAACUGUCCCUCCUUCUAUCACUUCCACUGAACAUAUAUCUACAUGAAUAGAUCCACGUGUCUAUGUUACAUCACUCAUCGCUCACUGAAGGGUUACAGUACAUUUUGUAUUCCAGCCAAAUAUAAUUAACAAUAAAGACAAAACAAUGAAAAUUUCUUGCUUUCUAAACCCAAAUCUAGUAAUAAUUUUAUAAUUAUACUAUCAGCAUUUUAUAUUUCAAGUUCUUGCAAACCAGACUAAAAUGCAAGAGUCAUAACCAUAUAGUCCCAGAUUAAUCAAUCGAAAAGUAAAAGUUUUACAUAGUCUCUUGAUUUUUUUUUUUUUUUGGUUUAGAUAAUGCAAAAAUAGUCCAUUAAAUCCUUUCUACUGAAAAUAUACAUGGUUGGAAGUCACAGAGCAAUGACUAAAUUGGCUAAUAACAAUAGCUACUAUUUAUGUGCUAAGAAUAAUAAAACCGUGUGCCCCAAAUUCCGCCAAGCACUUUAGAGACUUAGUCUCAUUUAAUCCUUGAAAUAACCUGGUGGAGAAUAUGCUAACUUUGUUUUGUAGAAGAAGUGGUCACAGCUUAGCAAAACUAAGUACCACAGUUGCAAAAUAUCAGAGCUGCCUCAGUCUCUACCAUGUUUGGUGUCACUUUCAGGACAGUGUGCUAACUAUAUGCAUUCUCGGUUAUAUAAACUUAUGAAAUUUCAAGAUUCAUUUCAUCGAUUUAUUUGGCAUUUCUUAAGACUUAGACUACAAGUUAAUCAUUUGGAAUUUUGUUUACCCAAUUUCACAUUUUGACUGCCUGAAUUGAACAGCUAUUUUGGCAUAAUGUAAACAUAUGCGAUAUUUUAUCAUGACAUACCAGUCCAGUUUUUAUGCAAAACUUGUAGCCUACAUGAAGAAAUCAAAAUGAUAGAAUUAUCUAUAUCUGAAUGGGCUGACCAGGUGCCCAAGGGUAAAGGAAGUAAAUCAAAACAAAAUGUGGACAAAAUGCCAAGCUACAAAAGAGCACCAAUGGGAAUACAACUUUGAGGUCAUAAACAUCUAAAAAUACAGGGAAAAAAAAGAACAAAAAAUAGUAUAUGAGAUGCUUAAGCUUUGAAAAUCUGGCUUUCAUAAAUCCUAAAAGGCUGAACUACUAGGAAUAGGACUAUGUAUUCCAAUUAACUGAAAUCAGGGUUGAUAAUUUGAAUGGACCCAAGUAUGGGAGGGGCAAUUAGCUCAUUAGCUAACUGUAAAGCAUCAGUUUCCUUAGGUCUAGAACACAGGGAGCAGAUAUUUAGUUGUUAUUUUUUUUUGUACAUUGUAUUUUCAAUUUUAGUUACACAGACAUGCUAACUUUUCUACAUAAACAAUAAUCAAUGAUGGCUGAAGGCAUGUAAUUGUAAACCAUUUCCAUUUUGACUUCUACUCAGGAAACUGACACAGAGAAAGCAUGAAGUUACACUUGAUAUCCAUAAUUACUGGCUUAUGGAAGCAAGAGAUCUAAGGAUUUAGUCAAUGAAUAAUAUAAAAAUACAGUCAGGAGAUCAUAAAUAUUUAUUACUACAUCAAAAGUCUGCUAGUCAAUCUUUCAAUAAUUCCUUCAGCAUAAAAUACUUGAGUCAGGAUAUUGGAAAAAAUAUUAAUUAAAAUUCAGACUUAGCUCUGAAAAGAUGGGAAAUAAGAACUAUAUAAAAUAUUUUCUGCUACAAACUGUUUUAUCUAAUUUUUGCCUUGGUUUUAUUUUUCCCUAUGGGUUUGAUUGUAGGUUCUUAAGUUUAUUCACCUAUUAAAUUUGCAAUUAUCAUGUUAAAUCUGACAAGACAUUUACCUGCUUUGUGAAGAAGGAUUAAAGCUAAGAGGCAGAAUUUUGCUUUUUGUAAAGGCAAAUUGAAUACAAAAAUAAACUUCAGUACCUAUUUUACUUAA